rnacentral:rRNA from 1 species
AGCGAACGCUAGCGGUGUGCUUAACACAUGCAAGUCUAACGAGAAAGUCCCCUUCGGGGGGCGAGUAAAGUGGCGCACGGGUGAGUAACACGUGGGUAAUCUACCCCUAUGUCUGGGAUAACCCGCCGAAAGGCGAGCUAAUACCGGAUAAGACCACGUGGCAUAAGCCACGAGGUUAAAGCGGGGACCCUUCGGGGCCUGUCGCUUGGAGAUGAGCCCGCGACCCAUCAGCUUGUUGGCGGGGUAGAAGCCCACCAAGGCUAAGACGGGUAGCUGGUCUGAGAGGACGAUCAGUCACACUGGCACUGGAACACGGGCCAGACUCCUACGGGAGGCAGCAGUGGGGAAUAUUGCGCAAUGGGCGAAAGCCUGACGCAGCGACACCGCGUGAGGGAAGAAGGCCUUCGGGUCGUAAACCUCUGUCGGGGGGGAAGAAACACUGGAGAGUUAAUACCUCUCCAGCUUGACGGUACCCCCUAAGGAAGCGUCGGCUAACUACGUG